CUCGCCGCUUUCCUCAGCACCUCCCUCCCCGCUAAACCCUUUCAUUUCGCUCCACUUCCUUUCUCGCUCCCCUGCCCGCACGCCUGUCCCAGCCCCUGCUGUCCCUCCCCCGUCACACUGUAACACACCGGCAGGCAGGCAGACAGGCAGGCAGGCUGAGCUCCCCAGCCAUCGAGCGUCUCUCGCCCGGGCUUCGCAGUGUUUGCUGUAGGAACAGCAGCCGGCUCUGCCUCACGACGCGCGGGCUGUGGACACAACCGUGACGGAGCUGCGGUAGCAGGCAACAGUGGAUCCACCACGAUAUCUCCCCCUUUUCUGUUUACCUUCCCCCCCCAUAGUUUCCGUGGAGUUAAUGUAAAUGCUGUUUUCUCUUUGGAAUUAUGUUUCCCUAGAAGGCGCUUUUGCAGCUCCUGUCAACGAGGAAAGCAACGAUGCCAGGUACUUUUUCAAUCCCAUCCAUUAGGAGCCCAGAGCCCGGAGCCUCGUGUGCGCUGUGAAUAAUUGGAAUGAGAUGGUGCAUUACUGGCUCCGAGGGAACUGCUCACCUUUGCUCGAGUGCGCUUUCCGACGUGCGGUUUCAAGUUCGGUCGCUGCUGCUUUAGUUUGACUGGGACCAGCGCCGGGAACUGGAGGAUGUGCUAGCGCACUUGCAACUUGCUGGUCUUUCUCAGGAGAGACGCAACUGAUGCGUUUUCGUUUCCCUGAGUACUCGCGCAUCCCGCGGCUGGCAUCUGCAGCUUUUCGCCUUCUUCCGAAACGGGCUGGGUAUUGCAAAGCCGCGUUCGGAUUUACACCGCGGUACAAUUUGGACAGCGCUGGUUUGUAUAAAACGCUAAGUUGGAGUAUUUUUUUUUUUAAAGCAGGCCAGAAAGGCAGAGUUCACUUUGGAUGCCGAUGCUUUUGUGCUUUUUUCAAUUGAAUCUUCUUUUUAUAUAAGUACUGCAUCUCGAAACAAUUAUGCCGGUUAGCGCUCUGCCCAGGGGCCGCUCGCUGAGCCCAGUGUCUCUGUCCCGGAGUCUGUCCAGGCUCCGGGAGUUUCGGACUCGAACGCGGAUCAUGCUUUCGCUCGGAGUUUCUCAGAUGGUGCUGGGCAGCUUGAUACUGGCUGUCAGUUUCGCCGCUUUGGCUCUUACUACCUCGCCGAGAGUCAGGCACUCCUGUCCCUUCUGGGCUGGUUUUUCGGUGCUGCUGUCCGGUCUGAUCGGGGUGGUGUCCUGGAAGAGGCCUCUCUCCUUAGUGAUCACCUUUUUCAUGCUGCUGUCUGCUGUGUGUGUGAUGCUGAACCUGGCCGGGUCCAUCCUCUCCUGCCAGAAUGCCCAGCUGGUGAAUUCCCUGGAAGCCUGUCAGCUAAUCAAGUUUGACAGCGAUGGUGUCUGCGUGUGUUGUGAGAUGCAGCAGCAGAGUCCCGGCUGCAAUAACCUAGGGGAAACGCUGAAGCUGAACCCACUGAGGGAAUGCAACACCAUCCGGCUGAGGCUGAAGGAGCUGCUGUUCAGUGUCUGUGCCCUGAAUGUCAUCUCCACCAUCGUCUGUGCCCUGGCCACUGCAAUGUGCUGCAUGCAGAUGGUCUCCACCGAUGUCCUGCACAUGUUUAUUCCUCACAGAUCCCGGUCUAUGAACCCAGACUGUAUGACCCCUCAUGGCACCAUAUUGCACCAGGCUUUGGAUUUCGAUGAGUUUAUUCCCCCAAUCCCACCACCUCCCUACUACCCUCCUGAGUACACCUGUACCCCAGUGGUGGAAUCGCAGAGGGGCCUGCACCUGGACUUCCCUCACUCCCCGUUCAGUACCAUCUAUGGCAUGCCUAUCAAUAGUCCCGGGACCCUGUACCCCUCCGAACUGCCCCCACCAUAUGAGGCCGUGGUGGGGCAGACGCCGGCCAGCCAGGGGACCACCAGUCUGGAGCAGCAGGCCACCGAAUCCAGCCUGUGUGAGAGAAACACCACCGCUGGCUUCAGCACACAAGCUUCGGUGGACAGCGCGUCCCUGAUGGUGUCUGAGGUGGCCGAUAUCCCGGACCACAGCUGCUCUUCGGAGGACCUGUGCUCCCUGGAAGUGCAGGGCUCCCUGCGGUCGGCCGACUUCUCCCCCUACAGCACCAUCCGCACGGCCGCCACACACGGCAGCUGCACCAGCCUGGAGCACAGCGCGCGCGGCAACCCCCGCCCCCCGCGGAGCCGGUCCCGGAGCUCCUCCCCGGACAGGUGCCGCGCACGGGACCGCUCGCCGGACUGGUCCUCCGAGAACAACAGCGGGCUGGAGGGGGAGGCCGGGGCCCCCAGGCGGGAGACGGCGGCUGCCUCCUCGCCCUCCCCGCCGCCCCGGCAGAAGAAGCUGUGCUUCAGCGUGUGGUCCCCCUCCUCCUCCUCCUCGGUCUCGCAGCCCCAGUCCAGCUCGGGCACCUCCCACGCGGCCGGCCUGGACAAGCCCCGGCCGCCGAGACACGCCAAGAGGUACCGGCUCUCCAGGAUCGCCCGCUCCACCAGCGACCCCGUCUCCUGCACAUCCCUCUCCGGAAGUGACAGCUGUGGCUGCUCAGCUGCCUAUAAUCCUGACGACUCCCCCCAGACCUCACCUGAGCCAGCUGCCUUCCCAGAACACACUGAAGUUGUGGUGUCAUACCAAGGCUCGGUCAGACACAUGCCUCAGUCUGGAAGGCCAAGGGACCGCAGCAAAGUGGACAUCAGGCUGAAACCCAGAGCCCUGCAGGCUGUUUCCAAAGAGCGGCCUCACUCCUUGGUGGACCUUAAGACUUACAAAGACACCAAAAUACUGGUGGCCAAAUUCCUGGAGCACUCCAGCUGCAAUCUACCUCCAGAGGUGCAACAUGUGGUCAGCAGCAUCAAGUACGUCAUCAAGUCUGAUGAGCGGCACAUGGAGGAGGCCAUCUUCAGUGCCAGCGUCAUCGAUCAGGUGAUGACCAAGUCCCAGCAGGCCCUGCGGCGCCCGCGGAAGAGGCUCCAGGAGGACCUGCACCUGCAGAGCUGUGGCGCGCUGAGCUCACCCUCCUCCUCGCUGCGCCGGUCCCGGGCGCCGAGCGCCUCGCUGCAGGAGCGCCCUCACAGCCUGAUCGGGGUGUCCCGGGAGACCAUCCUCUGACACCAGCGCGCACCCACCCCACACUGCCUUCCAGACAACGUGCCAAGCAAGGCGGGGGGGGGAGGGACCCCCCCUCUGACAAGGAAAAGCGCAGACACCAAGAGACAGACCACAGAGGACAACUGAAGCAGGAAUCCUGAAGGAAUGAUACAGCUUGUGAAAUAUUUGUUUUCCCCCCCUUGGUGGUGUUUUUGCACUUACAGCUUUUCCAAGACAACCACAUACUGUACAUUGUGCAUAAUAUUCUCUGGGUUCCCAUAAUAAUGUACAAAUAGUGAGUUGAGUGAAAAGUGACCCUUAACCUCCCCAAAUCCCUGCGUAGCAGUUAAAAUCAUACCCAUCGAGGGGCACAUCUGCUCCAGAGUUGGAAAACAGAAUUAUGCAUUUGUCUGGAAAACAAGUUUUACAGUAGGAAGCCACACAAUUGCAUGUUUCUGGCCCUUUGCAGGACUUACAAGAGCUACAGCCUCCAUGCACGCAACUUGAAUGACCACUGUGUAGCUGAAAACAAGAGCCAUGGUGCUUAACGGGUUUGUUAUUUUCCCCCAGAAUGACUGGACUCUAUUGGCAUGCAACAGGUAGUUUUUAUUUUUAUUUUUAGUACAGUAAAUUUUUAAAGCAUUACUCAGUGGUAAGGCUUCUUCAGUCACAGUGUGUUUAUUUUUUUUUUCCAAAGGGGUGUGGCCCAACAUGAAGGAAAAAACAAAAAUGUUUUAGCAUGACUACCAGAUAUCCCCUAGUGGGCACAAUACUUAACAGUAUGCAUUAUGUACAAACAUUCCAAUACUGCUGAUGGUUAUGGAUACAGCUCUAGGACACACUACAUUCACAACACCACUCAAACAAAACCUCCAGUUUCUCAGUAGGAAACGUGAAAACAGGGAGCUGAAGUCAUACAUUUUACAAAACACAGUAAGUGUCAUGUCUUUAUUCACUGAAACUAAGCUUUUUUACAUCAAUUUUGGUUUAAGGUUCCGCCACGAGUGGCACUUCACUCUUUACAAGUGUAUUU